rnacentral:rRNA from 1 species
UGCAGAGGUCUCAAGCGUUGUUCGGAUUCAUUGGGCGUAAAGAGUGCGUAGGUGGCGCUGUAAGUCAGGUGUGAAAUUUCGGAGCUUAACUCCGAAACUGCAUUUGAUACUGCGGUGCUUGAGGACUGGAGAGGAGACUGGAAUUCACGGUGUAGCAGUGAAAUGCGUAGAGAUCGUGAGGAAGACCAGUGGCGAAGGCGGGUCUCUGGACAGUUCCUGACACUGAGGCACGAAGGCCAGGGGAGCAAACGGG